CCUAUCUGCUUCUUUCAUUGCUCGCCUCUUCUAACCUCAGCCACCAGGUCAAGUAGGGCCGUCUGCGUGCCAGAGGCAGUUCCUGGAGGGCGGUCAGGCAAACAAACACAGCCAGUGCCCGCCGCAUGACUCACGGAGAUAGACGGAGGGAGCAGAAUCAUUAAGAUGAGGCCUUUCAAACUGUCAGGAAGUGAUGAAAGAGGGUGCACUGGAAUGGGGAGAUAGAAGAAGCAACAUGGAAGGAAAAACUGAUUCAACGAUAAAGGCGUGUCUCUUGCAUUCCCUUCCAGAAAGUGAAGCUCAGCCUGACGGUUUCAGCCCAAAGGAGAGUCAUCUGGAGCUGCAGCUGCGUGCAGAAAAACAACAAACACUGAGGGGAGAAAGGCUCUAAAGAGACUUCCAGCAUUGAUGGCAGUCAGUCAAAGGGACACAGUCAGCCACAGCACACUAGAAAAAGGACGUCAUAGUACGCUUAGACACUUAAAUUGGACCAAAAUGAUCAGAAAGGGGAUCUUUUACUCAGCUUCUUUUCUCUUUCCUGCUAAAUUCAGCUUUAUAUUGACUAUUGGAGAUUCCUUUGACUUCCAGACUUAAAGAGACAAAAAACACAUUGGAAGUAACUUUCCUCUGAAUUACACCAAGGAAGUGCAAAGAGUGUAACCCUUGUACAUUUUACAUUAUUUAAAGAAUUUCUUCCCACUUUAGAGGUCACCAGCAAGUUGAAUAAUAAUAAUAAUAAUAAUAAUAAUAAUAAUAAUAAUUAUUAUUAUUAUUAUAAAGACCACACAACACUUAAAGAAACUCUCCUAACACCUUAUACAUCUUUUAAACAUGAAUUAUAAAGUAGUUAAAUAUUUAUAAUCAAAGAUUAUUAACACGUAUUAAAUACAGUUUGUGCAACUUUUACAUAGAUUUAUAAAUACAAAUAAUUAGUAAUUUUUUAAUGAUCCAUGAGUUGAUCAACUAACUUGACAGAUUUCCUUUAGAAAAUGAUGAGCAGUUAGUUUGUUUACUUAUUGUAUUUUAGCACACAAACCAGAGAAUCCUGCCAUUGAGAGGUCAGUGCUAAAUUAAAAAAACAUGUUGGCAUUUUUUCUUAUCUUUAUUGUCAGAAUAGGAGACUGUUAUUUACUGAUGCCUCUUAUUGCUUUACUCUUGUCAACAAAAAAUUG
rnacentral:lncRNA from 1 species